rnacentral:rRNA from 1 species
UACGAAGGGGGCUAGCGUUGUUCGGAAUUACUGGGCGUAAAGCGCACGUAGGCGGGUCUUUAAGUCAGGGGUGAAAUCCUGGAGCUCAACUCCAGAACUGCCUUUGAUACUGAGGAUCUUGAGUUCGGGAGAGGUGAGUGGAACUGCGAGUGUAGAGGUGAAAUUCGUAGAUAUUGGGAAGAACACCGGUGGCGAAGGCGGCCAUCUGGACCGCAACUGACGCUGAGGCGCGAAAGCGUGGGGAGCAAACAGG